rnacentral:lncRNA from 1 species
AAUUGGGUUUGAUGAUCAUUUCGUGGUGUCCAAAGUUUGGGGAUAGAAAGAAACACAGUCAAUAAAUUUCUAUUUUGGAGAUGACUUCAUUUCUAUUUUUUUUUUUUUUUUUUUUGAGACAGAGUUUAUUACUCAGGCUGGAGUGCAGUGGUGCAAUCUCAGUUCACUGCAACCUCCACCUCCCGGGUUCAAGCGAUUUCUCCUGCCUCAGCCUCCCAAGUAACUGAGAUUACAGGUGUGUACCACCAUGCCUGGCUAGCUUUUUGUAUUUUUAGUAGAGACGGGAUUUUAUCAUGUUGGCCAGGCUGGUCUUGAACUUUUGAUCUCAAGUGAUCUGCCUGCCUCCGCCUCCCAAAGUGUUGGGAUUACAGGUUUGAGUCAUCAUGCCCGACCCCCCAUUUCUUAUAUUCAUUGAGUCUCUCCAUUUCUCCCAGGAGCCAAUGGGGCUUUAAAUCUCCCACCCGUCUCAAUUUCAUGCUCCAAAAUUGGUUCUUGUCCUGGUACUUCUGGUCCCAGCUCAGUCAUAGGCAGGGUAGGGCAGCACGAGAGGCUGUGCUGAACGCUGGAAAGGCCCCCAAUCACAGCAUGGUCACGGUAGGAAGUUCGGCCAGAAGAGAGGCGAAGUCCACAUCUUAUCUCCAUGGUUGGAGUUUUCCUCUUGCUGAUGUGACAAAGUAACCUGACGAGAUAAUGAUUUCCAGGUUGGUUCCAAAUGGUCUGGGAUGAGGUGAGUGCAGAGGGAGGGCCAGGGGGAGCUGCAGCCGGAUGAUGCAUGGGGCUGUUCUGCAGGACAUCUCUCCCAGGAGUUCAAAGGGUUCUGACGAUAUUCUCUAACUCACCACUGGCAUGCCCGGGGAAGAACAGAUGGUCUGUGGUCAGAUAAACCACCUAGACUGGGUGUUCCCUCUUGCUUCAGCCUUGUCCUUCCUUACAAGAUAAUGUGAACACCAGGCCACCUACCUGGGCCGAAAUUCAGGUGUUCCCUCUAGACCCAGGGAGUGCAGUUCUUCCUGCCACCCGCAGGGUCUGUGCAGCCCAGGAAGGCAAGACUGACGGCGUUCCU